rnacentral:rRNA from 1 species
UACGGAGGGUGCUGGCGUUGUUCGGAAUUACUGGGCGUAAAGGGUGCGUAGGCGGUUGUUUAAGUCUGUCGUGAAAUCCCCGGGCUCAACCUGGGAAUGGCGAUGGAUACUGGGCAGCUAGAGUGUGUCAGAGGAUGGUGGAAUUCCCGGUGUAGCGGUGAAAUGCGUAGAGAUCGGGAGGAACAUCAGUGGCGAAGGCGGCCAUCUGGGACAACACUGACGCUGAAGCACGAAAGCGUGGGGAGCAAACAGG